AUUGGUUGGAUUUGAAUUGGAUUAUGUGUGCUGCUUGUAGCAUGUUCCAUCGUGCUCCAUAACCUGAGGAGUGUUGGAUCAUCCACGUCAAUUAAUGAGGCAUGAUUCAACGCUCGGUGUUUUAUUUUAUUUUUAUUAUCUUUAUUUUAUUAUUUUUAAUUUCUUUUUCUUGUAAGUUUCAUAGUAAUUUCAUGUUUUAUCCAAAAAAAUCCCAAAAUAAUUUCUAAAAUUCUCUUUUAUUUUUCUUCAUCUAAUUUUUU
rnacentral:lncRNA from 1 species